CUCCCGUUAGCUUAACGGUAUAGCAGUCCUCUUUAUACCGAGCCAACACCUCGAGCGCUUCGAUGCAGGAGAGCAGGAUCAAUAAGUGGUAGGACGGAGCCUGGUUCGACUCCAGGGCGGGAGA